UACGGGGGGAGCAAGCGUUGUUCGGAUUUACUGGGCGUAAAGCGCGCGUAGGCGGCUCGUUAAGUCGGAUGUGAAAACCCGGGGCUCAACCCCGGGCCUGCACCCGAUACUGGCGGGCUGGAGGCAGGUAGGGGAGAGUCGGAAUUCCUGGUGUAGCGGUGAAAUGCGCAGAUAUCAGGAGGAACACCGGUGGCGAAGGCGGAUCUCUGGGCCAUUACUGACGCUGGAGGAGCGAAAGCGUGGGGAGCGAACAGG
rnacentral:rRNA from 1 species